GCCGCAGCCGCAACCGCAGCCGCAGCAGCAACAGCACUGGAGGAGGAGAAAAAGCAGAAGGAGCAGGAGGAGCGGGAAGAGCAAGAAGAGCAAGAGGACCAGGAGGACCAGGAACACCAGGAGGAGAAGAAGAAGAAAUAAUGAGUGAUUGUGUCUACGUUUAUGGGAAGAGUUUGAUGGGGUACUAAUGUUGCAUCUUUGGAGAAAUGUGUACUGAAAGAAUUACUCAUGCAGACUCACCCUGUGUUGUCAUCUGAGAAUUCAAGUUCAUUACUGAAACCAAGCUUCCUCUCGGCAUCAAGAGAAGAUCAGUACAGAAGCAGAUCACUACACUUAGCUAGUGGUAUUGUAAAAUCUCUUCAUUAAUGACUUUCAUUUUGCUUGGUUAUGUAUAAAAUUGAAUCAAAUGUUUAUAUUAUCUCAUUUAGUAUAUGUUUGCAUAAAUCAUCAUUAGAACUAAUAUUUUUAUUAUUUGCCAUGUUUUUUAAAUUACAGCAAGAUCUUUAAACACUGAAUUUAUUUUGUAAUAUUUUAUUUUUCAUUAUUUAAAACAAUAUUUAAAUCAAAUAUUCAAUUAUAUUAUACCACUCCUCCAAGUUUUUUAGAUCCUUUCCCAUUUUCCACACAUCUUUAAGCUCUUUGGCAAAAAAAUAUUCAAAAAUCCAAUUGAAAACAAACCUCUCAAAAUCAGUAAAAUAAAAAUCACAUUCAAAACAAUCAGAAACCCCCCAAAAAAAACAACAAUAAAGAAAACAACAAAAAGGAUAAAUCACCAAACAGUAUCAAUGUAAAAGAACACUCACAAACUCAGAAAACUGUGUAUUUGAAUUAUUUAUUGAUCAACUACUGUUGAUCCUAGGGCCUGUACUAGUUGAUGUACCUAGUUUCACUCUUUCAGGAAAACUAAAUUUUAUCUUUCUGAGUGGUUAUAUGUGAAAGUUCAGUUGUUGACCUUUACUCUAUUGUCUACAUUUUCAUUUAUUUAUUAUUUUAUAUAUUUAUUUAUUUACUUAUUCAUCCAUUCAGUCCAUUUUAAAAUAUAAGAAAAUUAAAUAUAAUAAAAUAAAAUGAAACUAUCUAUAGUACUAAUGUACUAAUCAAUAUUGGAAAGGAGUUACUACCUGGAUCAGUGUAACUCUACUUUAAUAUUAAUAGGGACCCAAAACCUUUUUGCACAGCAGAAUCUAGAAGUAACUUCUGGAAACAUGCCCCCAGUUAAUUCUGAUUAGUAAACAAAGAUGCCAGCAGCUAAUAGUCAGGCACGAGAGACAGCUGCAGGAUUUAAGAUUCCCAGGUUUGGAACCUUAAGGAAGAGGAAGGACAGAGCGAUGCAGGGAAGGAAAGCAGAGCCACCAUGUAAAGGGGCCAGGAGAACAUGGCUCCGAGAGUUGCUCAAUUUAGUCGAGAGUAGUCAAAAAUAAUGAAGAAAUUAGUAAGUAGUAAUCCAGAGUUAUCUGCAAAAGGAGGAGACUAAGAGCACAGAGGUUAGACAGUUGCUCAGUUACUGUGCUGCUUAAGUCAUGUUAAAUAUAAAGGUUGUAUGUUUUUCAUUCAGAAACAUAAACUAUUGAAACAGGCCAUCACCAAUGAGAGAUUAAUUUAAAAGUUAAUACUACAACUAUGAAAUUGAACCUGGAACUGUAAGUUCUAUGUGGGCACUGACUUGACAUCUCCAUUUUAAUGAAAUUUCUAAGUACAGUCAUCAAAAAUUGAGCCUUGCUGUCAGUUUGUGGAGAGGACCCCUAUAGUUUUGGCCACAACUUGGGUUGUUCGGAAAUUUCUUUUUCUGUUAUGACAGCCCUUUUGGCCCAUGAUUCAAUUAAUCAAUUAAGUGUAAACCAGUUCCAGUGUUGGAAGCUUUGUUUGGUGACAAGUGAUGGCCUAUUGAGACACAUUAUUUGAUGAUUUUAUUUAGAUCACACACACACACACACACACACACACACACACACAUACACAUACACAUACACACACACACACACACACACACACACACACACGUGUAUAUAUUACCUAACCAGUACCCUUCUAGCCCUCUUAUAUUUAGCUAUUCCUUCAGUAUUCCUUCCCACAAUCUAUUCUCCUCACCCUAGCUGUUUCUUCCUGUUUUCUCUUCCACAAUCUCCUCUCUUACCUUAUUACCCAAUUGAUUCUAGCACCAUUGCUGAUCUGUUAGUUUGUCUAGUCUCUUACUUAUGUCAGAGUAUGCUUGAUGAAACUUGUACAUUAUCCGAUAUUUAAGAAAAAAAUCCUAAUAUUUACUUUACCUAAUGACUACCCUGAAUACAUCACCUGGGACAAUGUCCGAUGUAGGUGGCAUCAAUGUGUAACAGAUGAUUUUUAAAAUGCCAGAUACACUGAUGUAUUCAUUAUCUGUAUAUAUUAGAUUUCCACUUAUGUUUAUGGAAUUUAAUUUUUGUAACUAUAACUUGAAUUAUUUUUUUCAAAUCAUGAGAGUGGCUAGGGAUUUUCAAAGAUUUUGAUUUUCUUUUACUGAAAAGGAAAUGAUCAUGUAAUUCUUUGUCUUUAUUUGUAUUAAUGUAGUACUUUAUAUAAAUUCUUCAUAUGUGUUAAGCUAUCUCUAUAUAUUUGGGUCACAUUUGCAAUAUUAUAGUAUAAACAAUUUUUUAUCUGUUGGAUGGUUUGUAUUGUAUUUGUUAGUAUAUAUUCAUUUUGUAUUAUUAUUUGAAGUUUCUCAUGCAAUAUAAUUUAAUUACUAUCUUUUCACAUUUCCAACUACUUCCAGAUAUCCCUGUCUCCCUAACAAUAAAAUUUAAUCUACCCUUGUGUGCUAAAGAUAA